AACUGACAGACACACAGACAGUCAGACAUAGGGAGAGGCUACUAGCCUCAGCAGGAGAUUGACAAUAGGGUGAGUGGUUUCAGCUCUUUCUUCAGAGCCAAUGAUCUGUUCUUGUGUGAGUCUUUGAGAUAAUUUACCCGACUGGUGGCAGCUUGUAGCACACAGCCUUGACGCAGUUCUCUCCUGCUCCUCACGCGGACCACCGGAGCUCUCCCCUUACUCUUCACGCAGACCACCGGAGCUCUCCCCUUACUCCUCGCGCAGACCACCGCAGCUCUCCCCUUACUCCUCGCGCAGACCACCGCAGCUCUCCCCUUACUCCUCACGCAGACCACCGCAGCUCUCCCCUCACUCCUCGCGCAGACCACCGGAGCUCUCCCCUUACUCUUCACGCAGACCACAGGAGCUCUCCCCUUACUCUUCACGCAGACCACCGGAGACACCCAGCAGGCAGGUGCAGUUUUGAAACUGCCAAUCAACCCAAAUGUGAUCCUCAAGGAACCUGUUCAGCAUCAAUGAUGAAUGUUUCCCUCAAACCAGAUGCAAGCCUUUUUGAUCUGUGAAAAAGCAGCCAGUCAAUCACACAUAUUGACUCAAAGGAUAAGCUGUCAAAGUAAGAGCUUAUUGAUGGAUUUUUCCACCCUCGUAUUUCAAUACAAUCUCCCCUGAUCUGAUUUUGUGGUUCACUCUGUCUACUUUGAAGACACACAGGUUGUGUUAAG
rnacentral:lncRNA from 1 species